CGAGAGCUUAAACCAAAACGCCAGUUAGAGGAAAAUGGCUUUAAAAUGAUCCACAAUUGCAUUGCGCUGAUUUGCUUCUUCAACGUGAUUCCCUUGUUCAUCCAGACCAUCGCGAAGACAAACUCAUCUCUUCUUGCAAUCAUCUUCAACGCUCCCGUUUCAUGGCGACAACAAGAUUCACCAGGUUCGAAUUCAAGUGCGGCGAAUUUCCAAAAGGUUGACUGGUAUGACGUUUCCCUUCCUCCUCCCUUAUGGACGCUUCUUUAUUUUCUACGAGAUCGUCUUCUUCGCGGCGAUGUGCGUAGUUGCUGCAUCGCGAAUCGAUGUGUGGUUCACCGAUUCCUCAUCUUCUUCGGGUGCUCUUCGCUCACGUUUCAAGCUUCGGCAUCAACAUCUCAACAACGUCGUGUUUGACCGAAGCCAUAUACAAUAUCAAGUCAAAAUCCGUAUCGACGAAGAACAAAUGAAUUUAAUCUCCGAAAUUAAUAUCUAAAUCGAUUCAUUGUCGUGAGUGUGCAGAAUCGAAAAGAAGACGGAAUGAAGUGAACAACGCAGUGGAUCGCAACGAGUCAUGGAUAGAAUUUGAAAAUCAAUCAGCGUCAUCAUCAUGAUUCCAUCGAUUCUGAGUUUCAGGAGUGGCGUCGCAACGUAUCAAGUUUCGACGUGCGUGGCGUUCUUCAGAUUCGCCAUUGGUUCACAACAGGAUGAAAUUGCAGAUUGCAGCAGAGAAACUCACUGAGACAGGCCGGUUGGAGAGCAUUCAUGUGGAUCAACUGUUUUCUUCUUUCCGCAGAAUAAUGAUGCCAGGAGUUCAAGGUUGACGGCAGGGUGAAGACGAUGUUGCAGAGUGAAGAAUUGAGCGUUACCGUGGUAUUCGAUUACAGGGAGAAGCAGAAGGUUUGUGUGAGAUGAGGUACGAUUGGGGAAGAAGGUGAAACAGAAGGUGAAGAUGAAGCAAGAAGAUGAAGGUUGAAGCUUUUUGCAAAUGUGGUUCUGCAAAUCCUCUGAAUGAAGAGUGGUGAAUUUCAGGGUGGAAGAAUGGUGAAACCCAGAUGAAGAAGGGUGAAUUCUCAAUGGGAGAAGGAUCCAAAUCCACAGUGGAAGAAGUUAGCUUCCAGACAUAUCACAUUGUCGGCGUUCUCCACACCACUGAUAUAACCCUGCCGUUAUUUUCCACCACUGAACGUCAUUUUCCACUCGAUCUUGCCGCGCAGCAUGCCUUGGCAGCAUGGGUAAUUGAGGAAGAUUAGCUCGUGACAGCGCACGUACACCUUUGGCUGGUUUUGCGGGUACAUGGAUGUAGGCUCAUGGGUUCGUGUUUCAAUUCCAGCAUGAAGCAUGGCCUAAGGUGAGCUAGAGUUCUGCCGUUUUGAUAACUAGGAAUCCAUGACAUGCCGUAUGUUAUACCGUAUUGCCUUGGUGAUCUGCUUGUUUGUAUACCCGCUUCUACUGCCAUGCUGGUGUUCUUAGGCCUUUGCCGCCUCAUUUCGAAGGAGAAAGAGCUUGGCAUAUGUGUGGUAUGGUAGCUGGGGCAUAAUUGACUAAGUACUGCUAUGUGAAUGUUAGCUUAGGGGGCAAAGCGGGAUUUUGGUUAGCUCAUGCAGCUAAACCCUUGAAGCGUCCUAGGUUGAUUGUUCAAGGAUGUAGAUUGCGAGAAAGUUCGAUAGGAAAUGAAAGUGGGACACCUUCACCCCCCUUCUCUAUAUGAACCGUGUGGGUGUUGAAAAGAAAAAAUGGAGUGCAUGUUUAUAUUCAUAUUUCAAUUUAUUCCAUUGUAUGAAUGACGUGUAUCAUGCUUAUGUAAUAAAACAAACUCAAAUGUGACUUGAAUUCCAAUUUGUGACCCACAGUUCAAACU